GUUCCCCAGUGGCCUCCCAUGUAGAUCUCCACAAUCCCUGAGCAGUAGAACCUCCCAUCGACCAACCGCAUCCUGGGGGGGCCUGGGAGAAGGACAAAGAGAAGGGGAUUGUUACAGACAGUGACAUCAUCUCACAUCAUUUACCAACAUUGCCUGUGAUAAAGGUCCUGGAAUGCCUUUCUGCUGCUUUUUUUGGUCACAUUAACCAGGGGAGUAUUUUGGUGUUUUCUCUCCCUAGUAGGCAUACCUAGGCAUACCCUGAUAGACUCCAGCUGUGGUGAGCUGUGGGUAAUUGUUAGGAGACAGCUUGGGCCCAGUAGAUCAACAUGGCUUGAAAGAGGCUUCAACAGAUGCACUGACCUGCAGGUUUCUGGCCUUCCCCACUCUGGUAGGAGGUCACUGCAAAGAGAAGAGACUGUCAGGAGAAGUGAUGUGGGCAGGGCAGCCAUGACUACAGUUCAAACCUACUUCUCAUUAGGAACCAGGCAGCUAAUGCUGCGCCAUUCCUCUUGGCCAGGGAACCUUGGCACCUGGUUCUAAAGUAUGCUCCCGCUGAGGGAUAUUUCCUGCUAGAAUGGUCUCCUCUACAUCUUCUGUCCAUCCCUGCAACAUUUUUGGAAGAGCCUUCGCUAUCCUUCAAUAAAAUCAUCACACCACAAACUAUACCCUCUCCCAACGGAACUAAGCACAGACUAUCAGGCCUCAGCAAUGCAAACGAUUUCUUGGGGCCCAAUGAGACCAGUACAGAAUUGUUCCCUAUAUCAAGCCUGUUUUAAAUGUCCUAAGUGAUAGAGCUGCUGCUACUUCCAUGUCUGGGGCCUUUUCUGAUCCACAGUUCAAUUAUUAUUAUUUAUAUUACAAAAGCACCUCAAGCCCCAAUGGAGACUGGGGCCCUGUGGUGCAUGGUACAAACACAUAGUGAGAGACAGUCUCUGCCCCCAAAGAGCUUACAGUCUAGAGAGACAAGACAGGCAAAGGGUGGGAGGGGAAACUGAGGCACGAGAGGGGAAAGGACUUGCCCAAGGUCACGCAGCAGGUCAGAGCUGGGGAUAGAAGCUAGGUGCGGGGCAGCAACCUCUUGAUGCCUACUGGCAGAGGAUACAGGGGUGCCUAAGGGUUCCACGAAUCUCCUGGGUCUGGUCUCUACAUAAUAGUUCAUCAGACGGCAUCUGCUGAAAGCUUGUGUCACGCUGAUCAGCAUCACCACUGUGAAAUGUAGGUGUGGAUAAUACGAAAAGUGCUGUUUAUAUAUUCUGAAAAUUAGGCUCUUCGGGUUUGUGAGUUAGGGCCAGUCACCAAAAGGUGACAAACAACCUUCUUUCCAGCAGGACAUGCUUAUCUAUCAGUCUGGCUAUAUGCAAAUUGGUUAUUAUUUGCUUCACAAUGAACAACUAUUUACAGUCUGAGCCAAAUGCUAAUCAAGAGAUAGCAAAGUCUCCAGGGUUGAUUCUAGACAGGCAAUAACAAGCAGCAGAGGGGUACCCCAUUUACAAGCGAAGACACUGGAUUGUUGGAACUCUAUCGGGGGGUACAGAGGCACCCCAUUAUCCAUCACCUAGGGGAAAAGCCGCCAGCAUGCUUGUUUAGCUGGCCUGGUUGUUAGGUGCUGGGAGAAAGACUUUAGGUGAGCUAAACUUCGUGAGCCAAAAAAGUGUCUUGUUAGUUAAGUCUAGGCCUGGACAGCAGGAGGUGGUUUUAUUUGACAUGUAACCAAUCGUUUCCAAUAUUUCUACUUACUUGCUAUGACUUGAACCGCUGUUCCUUGUUAAAUACACUUAUCCUUGAUUUCCCUAUAAAUGUAUCGAUGUGCUAUGAGUUGAGCUGAGCGGUGAUCCCAGGUGUAACUGGGAAGCUACCGGAUACUGUUCCUUUGGGAACAGCAGCUGUGUGAAGUCUGUGAGUGUCCAGUGGACUGAGGGAUGGGCACUCCAGGGAGAUGCUCACAGGGACUUGGGGGGUGGAUUGUGCCAAUUGCUAACCUGCAGAGGGACACUGGGGCUGUGUAGACUGAGAGGGCAGUGCUUGUGUUGCCUGUGGGCAGAGGAGUCAGGGGGCUGACCCCCAGCACGCACAGACAAGGCUCCUUCAAGCUAAGGGCAGGUGGUGGAGAGGUGCCUCACAACCCUGGAAACUCCUGGGAAGUGUCACAUCACAUCUCCUGAGUUCCCAUCUGGGGCCUAUCCAUUAGCCCAACCUGCCUCUCAGUGUGUGUGACACAUGUCCUGCCAGUGGCUGGCCUACAGAUCUUUAUGAGUCUGGCCCUGCUUCUAGGGGGAGGAUUCACUCCUGCAGCUCAUGUCUUUAGUGCUGAAGACCCUGGGUGCAAGCCCUGCCAGCAUCCCAGUGGGAUCAUGUUCACGUCUGAAAACCCCAUUUUAAAGGAAAUUUGGCCCAGCUUGCUUGAAAGUAUUUGGAGUGAGAUGGUAGCAGCUCCAACACCUUCAGCGAUCACCAAAGGCUGCAGAGGGUGCAGGAGCAGCUGAAAGAAGGAUGGCGAGGCUCCAGCAAAACUAAAUGCAUUCUCUGAUUCACUGUGUGCCACUGAAGCUGAUGGGAAGCUGUGCAGUGCAGGCGGAUUCCUACCCCAAGGGCUCUGUCUGGAAAAUCAACAGGAAACCCUUACCAGCCGUGAUCUUGAGGAGGGAAUGGACAGCGAAGUAAGGACAUCUGCAGAGCACAAAGACUUCGCUGGGUUAGUACAGCUGGUGGUGGUGUGCCAGGAGCUCAUGGAAGUGCCGGAGAUCAGGCUCGGGGAGAGGAGUCUGACUCCGAUCUAAUGUAAGACAAUGCAUGCUGGAAAGAAUGGUCAGAGCGUCUCACCCACACGGAUGGGCACCGGUCUCAUGGGCUACUUAGGGGGAAAGGACACGGGGCCAGAGAAAGGCUGUGGAAUAAGAAGAACUAGUCCACUGCUGAGAUCAAUAGGGUGAUCUACAUGAGCUGGGGAUCUGGUCCAUUGACUUACUGACUCCCGUUGAGCUAUGGCCAAUUUACACCAGGUGGGGAUCUGGCCCAUUAUAUCUAUAUGGUCACUUUUCAGAGUAAACCUGUGCUUUUAAACUCCUAUCAAAACCAGCUCUGCAUUCUGCAGUGAAGCCCUGACCAUGCCUCCGUAAAACCAGGGUAAGCUGUAGCCAUUGGGCCCAUCGCUAUAGAAUAUUUGUCAUGUAUUUUUAUAAGCGAAUAUCCCCAGGCUCCUGGCUCUUGUGAAAUUUUUGUUAUUAUUAUGAACCUUGUAUACAAUCUAGAAUUAUAACAAGAUGCAAUCAGUGGAUACACAAAUAGGGGAGGGAUGGGGUAGAGGACAAGGUAUCAGGAAAAGAUGGAUCCAUGAUACAGAAUGGCUGUUUAUACCUGAUCCACAUCCGGUGUAAAUUCACGUUAGUAUUUAGGACCGGUCGCUUUGACUGGUUGAAUUCACAGGUAAUUUCUGUUUGGAUGCACAUUAAAAAAUCACUACCAGACCUCACUCCUAGCUGCUGUGAGCUCGUCUGCUGGCAUUUCAGAUUUCUGGAAGAAGGAUAAAGCCUUGAUCUCUUGGGUACCCUAGCCUUCCUUUCUCCGGCUUGACUGUAGCUCAAGAUUUUUGCUAUUGAUAUAAAGACUCAGGGCCAAAGCCCUAGAUGGUGUAAAUCAAUGUAGCUCUAUUUGAUGUUAAUGCAGCUACAUCAAUUUACACCAGCUGAGCAUCUGGCCUUCGGUUUAAUUAAAUGUGUAACAUGCUUAGCAGCUUUCCCUGGUGGCACAUCAAUUAUUCACUCCCCCUUCCGUUGGAUGACGCUAAGUUAAAGCCCCUGUGGAAGAUAUUGCUGCUAGUAUUUAAACUGUGGUUCUAGUCAGUCUGUUCCAAAGAGAUCAUGGGCUCCACACUGAUUCCCACCCAUGAAUCUAGAUACCACGUGCUCAAUUCGCAAAUUCACGGAGGAUUUUUCUAACCAUUGUAAGCACUACUAGCUCCCUGCGGAAUCUCGAAAUCCAGCUUAGCCGUUCCUGCCUCCUGCACCAUUGUCAUUGCCAGGAAUACAGAGUCCAGAGCGGGCAACCUGCUGAUGUUGCCAGAAGCAGAAUAGACCACCCCCCCACUCACUCUCCCACAGCUGUGCAAUGCUCACAUGGUGCAAGGACAAUCUAAGGUGAUUCAAAGACACUGUGAGGAAUAGGUCAUGUUUCCAUGCACUUUCCCGCUCAUGUCGCACCUGAAUAUUGAAUUUUUGGUUAUUUUUAAAUACUUGGAUCCAGAUCUCCUAGCUGGUGCAAAUCAACAUAGCUCCAUUGGAAUCAAUGGGCCAGAUCCCCAGCUGGUGCAAAUCAGCAUAACCGAUUGGACUGAAUGGGCCAGAUCCCCAGCUGGUAGAAAUCAGCGUUACUCCAAUGAAAUCAGUAGCCCAGCUGGUGUAAAUAGGCCCUAGCUCCAUUAGAGUCAAUGGGGCUACCUCAGUUUACCUCUGCUGAAGAUCUGGCCUAUAGUAUUCUUAACACAGAAUAUAAAUAGGGCAUGGGAUCUUGGGCAGGCCCUCCGCACUAGCGUGACUUUAUAGAUUCACUGAUGAUCAGCUAGUCUGACCUCCUGUACAACAUAGGCCUUAGAAAAUAAUUCUUAGAACAGAUCUGUUAGAAAAACAUCUUAUCUUGAUUUAAAAACUGUCAGUGAUCAAGAAAUCCACCACAACCCUUGGUAAGUUGUUCCACUAGCUAGCUACCCUCACCAUUAAAAAUUGACACCUUUUUUCCAGUCUGAAUUUGUCUAGCUUCAACUUCCAGCCGUUGGAUCGGUAUUCUACCUUUCUCUGCUAGACUGAAGAGCCCAUUGUGACGCAGGCAGGCCAAGUGCCAGUGCAUGCCAACGCCCCAGACUUCACUGAACACUUACAAAUGCAGAGCUGGAAGCCAGGCCGACUCACUUGUGUAUUAGUAUAGAUCAAAGUGAUUGUUAAAUGUAUAAGAAUGUCUUUGGUGUUUGAACUUCAUGAAAACGAACGGGAUGCUG